CUACGGGGUGCUGCAGUGAGGAAUAUUGCACAAUGGGGGAAACCCUGAUGCAGCAACGCCGCGUGGAGGAUGACGCAUUUCGGUGUGUAAACUCCUUUUAUGAGUCAAGAAAAUGACGGUAGCUCAUGAAUAAGCACCGGCUAACUCCGUGCCAGCAGCCGCGGUAAUACGGAGGGUGCAAGCGUUACUCGGAAUCACUGGGCGUAAAGGACGCGUAGGCGGGGUGUCAAGUCAGGUGUGAAAUCCUAUGGCUCAACCAUAGAACUGCACUUGAAACUGGCAACCUAGAGUAUGGGAGGGGGAGAUGGAAUUAGUGGUGUAGGGGUAAAAUCCGUAGAUAUCACUAGGAAUACCGAAAGCGAAGGCGAUCUCCUGGAACAUUACUGACGCUAAGGCGUGAAAGCGUGGGGAGCAAACAGGAUUAGAUACCCCGGUAGUC
rnacentral:rRNA from 1 species